rnacentral:rRNA from 1 species
AAGCUCGUAGUUGAAUUUCGGGAUUAAUACGUCGGUCGUGCUUUCGGGUACGUACUGGCGUCAUUGGUUUCUCCUUUCUGACGAACCAUGAUGUCAUUAAUUUGGUGUUAUGGGGAGUUAGGACUGUUACUUUGAAAAAAUUAGAGUGUUUAAAGCAGGCAUUAGCUUGAAUACAUUAGCAUGGAAUAAUGAAAUAGGACGUUCGAUCCUAUUUUGUUGGUUUCUAGGAUCAACGUAAUGAUUAAUAGGGAUAGUUGGG